rnacentral:tRNA from 1 species
GCCCGGUCAGCUCAGUCGGUAGAGCUUGAGACUUUUAAUCUCAGGGUCGUGGGUUCGAGCUCCACAUUGGGCG